GGUGGCUCAGUGGUAGAGCGCCUGCCUUGCAUGCCCGAGGCCCUGGGUUUGAUUCCCCAGCACCA
rnacentral:tRNA from 1 species